rfam:Nocardioides luteus strain BAFB contig00017, whole genome shotgun sequence.
GUCCUCGGUCACUUCACAACGGAUCGUCCGGCACGUACCUGCCGGUGAAGGAGACAACG